ensembl:lncRNA
CAGCACAGGAGAAGUCAGUCUAGUCAGUCUGUCGACACUCCUCCCCACCCUCGUCGUCUGUGAAAAACAGCCCAUUCAAGCCAAAACAAACGAUCGCCACCAAAACAAAAGAUCGCCAGCCCCGCCCGCUCCUCUCCCCCCGCCCGACGCAAAUAAUCAACACAAGCCCUGCCAUUGCCCCACCUGAGCGCAUUUGUCAUCCCGACGAUAUGCUUUCUGAGUCCCGGCCUCAGCCUCCCGCUCCAACGCUGAUGGAAAACUUGCAG